rnacentral:rRNA from 1 species
AGAAUGAACGUUGGCGGCGUGGAUUAGGCAUGCAAGUCGUGCGCGAACUGUAGCAAUACAGGGAGAGCGGCGUAAGGGAGAGUAAUACAUAGUUAGCUGCCCUCGAGUCUGGGAUAGCGGCGGGAAACUGCCGGUAAUACCAGAUGAUAUCUUCGGAUCAAAGGUGUGAUUCCGCUCGAGGAGGUGACUGUGUCCUAUCAGCUAGUUGGCGGGUAAUGGCCCACAAGGCAAAGACGGGUAUGGGGCGUGAGAGCGUGCCCCCAUCACUGGGACUGAGAUACUGCCCAGACACCUACGGGU